GAAUAAAAAACCAUCCCUUCCCAGGAGCUCACAAACUAGCAAAAGAGACCAACAAACCCUGUACAAUGUAAUAAGCAUUAUCAUAAAGUCAAGCACAGGGAUGAUAAAGGGGUAUGAAAGAAAAUUUUAACCUAGCCCAGAGGAAAAUAUGUUGGGGGGAGUCCACAGAGAGAGUAGCUUUUUAGAGAAGAUCAUAUUUUAUAGCACAUAUUACCUUUUAAUAAACUCUGAGUCUCUAAUGUGUUGAAAUAAAAUCAAGAGCAAUUACAUUUAUCUAGAUCAGUGCUGUCCAAUGACGAUCAUUGUACUACAAUAAAUGUUAUUCAUUCAGUAAUAAAAAAAUAUGUGAUCUACAUAAGUAAUAUAAAAUUUUCUAGUAACCAUUCUAAGAAAGUAAAAAGAAACAAGUAAGGGAGUUCCUGUUGUGGCUCAGUGGGUUAAGAACCCAACUAGUAUUCAUGAGGAUGCGGGUUCAAUCCCUGGCCUUGCUCAGUGGGUUAAGGAUAUUGCAUUGCCAUGAGCUGAGGUGUAGGUUGCAAACACAGCUUGGAUCCAGCAUUGCUGUGGGUAUAGCAUAGGUCUGUAGCUGCAGCUCAGAUUUGACCUCUAGCCUGAAAACUUCCAUGUGCCUCAGGUGUGCCCCCCCAAAAAAAGAAACAAGUGAGAUUAAUUUUAAUAAUAUAUUUAUAUAUAUAAAAUAUUAUUUUGAAAAGUAAUCAUUAUAAAUUAUUGAAAUAUUUUCUAUCCUUCCAUACUAGGUCCUUGAAAUUUACUGUCUAUUUUAUACUUACCACAUAUCUCGAUUCAAACUAGGCCACAUUUUAGGUGCUCGAUAGCCUGGCUAGGAACUAACAUAAUAGCUGACAUAGAUCUAUUUUGAACUAAUGGUUCCCAAUAUUUUUAACAAUGAAGACCUCAUAAAAUAUUUUGAGGAUAUCCACAUUAUAGUUUGACACUUUUUUCUGGCUAAACCCAUGAAUAUGCAGAGAAGUUCCUGGGCCAGGGAUCAAAUCCAUACCAUGGCAGUGACUGGAGCCAUAGCAGUGACAAUGCUGGAUCCUUAACCCACUAGGCUACCAGAGAACUCCAUUUGACACUUUUAAUAUCAUCAAUUGAUAAAUCAUAUUGAAAAAACUCUUUUGAGUAAGUUUAACAAUGCUUUUCCAUGUAUAUUUAUUUUAUGUAAUAGUGCUUACGUGUUUCUGGAAAAUGGUACAAUAGGAUAUGGUGUUACAUGGUACCAUAUCAUAGUAUAAUGUGACACAAUAUGCUUAAGCCAAUUUGAAUUGGAUUUUGGCCUGACAAAACAUGUGGAUCACUAUUUUUAGGCAUGGCCUAAGUUAUAUCGUACCCACAGCUAUUACAGUAAGAUCAAUAAAGCUAAUAGAUGAGAACUUUUUGAGAGGUUCCUUGCAGAAGUAAUUCAAAUAUCCUAGUGCAAGAUAAUUGCUAAAGAACUUCCAAGGUCUCUUCCAGUUGAUGAUGGUAGUUAAUAUGGGUUCUCCUUCCAACUCUUUCACUAACCGGCUACGAGACCUUUGGCAAUGAGAACUUAACCUCUCUAUUCCAUCUUUAAAGAACAAAAACAACACCUACAAAAUAUUUGCAUUAGCUAAUUAAAUCCACACCACAAUCCCGUGAGAUAUUGUUGUAUUAUUCCCAUUCCAUGCAGACGCACUCACAGAGAUGUUCAAUAAUUUGCCCAAGAUUACUCAGUUAUAAUUUGAAACCGAAGCCUGCACUUUUCAUCUCUCUGCUGUACUGCCUUUCUUAAGUUACAGUGAAUCUGAAAUGAGAUAAUGUGCAUAGACACUUAAUACAUGAAAGUUCAGUGUGUUACUUUAUUAAGUCUAAUGCCCCUAUUUGUACCUUUUAAAAAUGCUCUUUCCUAAUUUGAAAUGCCUUCAUCAUUCAGAAAUUACUUCCAAUUCUAACCCCCUACAUAAAUCUUUUUUUAAAUUGGGUUGAUGGCUCGUCUUUAAAAAUUCCCUUUGAUAGGAGAGCAGAAUUUGGCCCAUGAUUCUCUAUCAAUGGUUAUGCCUUAGCAUUUCAUCAACAGUGGUAACUAAGGAGGAGGAAAUUCUCUCUCAUGUGUCACUCUCACUCAGAGUCAGAGAGUCUUUUAUUCACUCAUUUAUUCAGUAAGGGCCUUUUCUACAUUAGGUUCUAAGAUAGGUGCUAGAUGUGUGCUGGUGAACAAAGCACAAGUUUCUUUUAUCAUGGAAAUGUUGAUAACAUGACAUUAAAUAAAUAUAUAAAUACAAAUUGUGAUAAAUGUCAUGAAGAAAAAGAACAAAGAGGGCAUUAGAAAGACAAUCUUAACGGAUAUAAUUUAGAUGGAGGAAGUCAGAGAAGGCCUCCCUGAGGAAGUAACAUCUAGUCUAAGUUAAGACCUGAAGAAUGAAUAGAAAUUUGUCAUGGAAAGAGUGAACGAAAGAACAUUCCAGUCAAAGACCCUGAGGCAAAAGAGUUUGUUACGUUUAGUAACUUAAGAAAGUCAAGGUAGCUGGGAUAUAGUGAGCAAGAGGAAAGUGAAGAAUAUGAGGUUGAAAACUACGCAAGGCCAUGUCGGAAUCUGUUAUUUACAGGUAUAUUGUGAAAUCUGAAAAAUACCUAUUGUUUGCACAGUACAAACUCCAGACAUAGACCUUGCCUAUUUCUUCUUGACUAGAAGGGUGGGGGUUGGCACAAUUUUAAAAAGAAUAAGUAAUUCUGACCCACUAAUAUUCUGUUUCAAGGGUACUAAUGUUCCUUCUAAAAGAGUGAAUUCCGGAGUUCCCGUCGUGGCGCAGUGGUUAACGAAUCCGACUAGGAACCAUGAGGUUGCGGGUUCGGUCCCUGACCUUGCUCAGUGGGUUAACGAUCCGGCGUUGCCGUGAGCUGUGGUGUAGGUCGCAGACGCGACUCGAUCCCGCGUUGCUGUGGCUCCAGCGUAGGCUGGCAGCUACAGCUCCGAUUGGACCCCUAGCCUGGGAACCUCCAUAUGCCGCAGGAGCGGCCCAAAGAAAUAGCAAAAAGACAAAAAAAAAAAAAAAGAAUGAUUGAAUGACAUUUGCUGUGAUCACAAAGGAACUUAAUGACUAAUAGUAUCAAUAUCAGGAAAUGAAUAUAAAGAGUAGAUAGAAGUUAUAAUGAGCAUAACCUAUGUAAAUUAAGCCCACUGCAAAGUUGUGAAUUGUUAAUACUUAUUAUAUAUUGUAUAUUGAGGUUUAAAUUAUCUACCUUAUUCUGGGAACUGAAGGUCAGGUUGGAUGGGGGCUGAAGUUGGAGAGAAUCAAAUGGAUUAACGCAUGUCAAACACCUAAAAAUAGUGCCUGACAUAUCAUCAGCAAAUGGUGCUACCAUUACUAUUUACAGUGAUUUAUUUUUCCCAGAAAAAAACUUCAAUUUAACUAACACUUAGGGAAAUAACAAAAUAUUUGAAUAAAUAAGUUGGUUAUGUUAGUUAUACAUAUACUACCAAUAUGAGAAAUGAACAAGAGUUUCACAGUGGAGGUGUUGCAAAGCUCAAAUAUUAUAUGUAGUGUGCAAUAAGAAUGAAACAAAAAACAGAUGUUGUGAAGAGUAUAUACUAUCCAAAGAUUUAUCUUAUUACUGACUUACAAAUCACCUAAGCAAUAUUACAAUUAAGCCUCACACAGCGCAGUUAGCAUGAAACUGGAAAACUAAAUCUUCUAACAAAGAGGCAAAAUCAAGUGCAUCCCAAGUAGUCUCCUAGCAUCAGAACGAAGAGAUGGAAUCUCUUCCUCCUUGCUUGCUUCCUAAGCUUUCUCUCUGCAGAACUCCAAGAAACACCCAGAACUGGUUUAAGUGAUUGGCCUUUGUUUGUCUCUGUAGAUUAUUCACAAUUACAGUGUUACUUCUGGUUUCAAAGCCCUCAAAACUCUACAGGAUAGAGAAUUAUGAAUUGGACAUACUGAGUACCAAAAAAUAAUGCAAGGGAGGAAAUCCUUCUGCACUGGCAGUAUAGAAAAAGCUGAUUUAAGAGAACAAGCUGUUUGUUCCAAACACUGCUAACCAGUGUACUAAGUCCCAGAAGCAGUGACAAUAAAAUUAGGGGCUUUUCCCCAUGGGUAGGGCAGGCAUGAAACUUCCUAAAUGAAUCAACAGACAAAUG
rnacentral:lncRNA from 1 species